AACCAUAGACCGCACAAAAUAGGAGGGCAUGGAAGGUGACACACCCCGUCCCGAAGGAGGGCAUGCUGGCCGUCACGUGAGAGUGACGUAACCAUUUGCACAGUACGGAAGCUUUAAGAUACAAUUUAAAUUGAUACACCCGAAGGUGAGUCCUAAUUUUGUCCAAUCUGUCAGAACACCGUCGAAUUCCUCGUAGUCACCACACCUUUGUGAUUCCUGAACCUGGAGGGGCGCAAAACCAAAAUUGAGUGGGUCAGUAAAACAAUUCUUUUCCAAAUCCAAACAUUUCUCAAAACGUUGUAACCCCUCUCCGUAAAACCUGUAUACUUUCCCAGAAAUGUAAAAUAUAAAUAUACAUAUAUAUUCUCAAAACUUCAUUUUUACUAUCUCAACAUUAUCUCUUUAUCAAUCAUGCCAUGCCAUGUCAUCUCAACAUUUCUCAUAUUAAUUAUGCCAUGCCACAUCAUCUCAACAGUAAUAAGGUAUGAAUGCAUCAACAUAAUCAUAUCAGGUGCAAGAAAGUAAUCAACCGUAGGCCCUCUAAUAGCCCUAUACGGUUGAACCUAGAGCUCAAAAUCUAUCAUUAUCACUCUACCGGAGUCACCUCUGUGACCCGUCCGGCCUUCUGCACACAAGUUACGCUCUAGUGCUUCUCAUAAAUCAUCUGUGCACAUAAUCUAAGGUCACCCACCAGUCGGAAUCUCACUAACACUCUCGCGACUGGUCUGUCGUACCCACUCCGCGUGGACUGUACGACUAGCAUCUACUUGGAUCCAAGGCGAGCGUGCGAUGCGGUGAAUACUAUAAGCACUAAAACCAUGGUGCAGGAUUUGAGCUCAAUAUAUAUCAUCAUCAUCAUAACAGUAAUUAAAUACUCAUCUGUGCGUCCACCGCACCAUUUCAUACAUAUGCAUCAUAAAUCAAUUCUUACCUGUGCGUCCACCGCACCAAUUCAUACAUAUGCAUCAUAAAUCAAUUCUUACCUGUGCGUCCACCGCACCAAUUCAUACAUAUGCAUCAUAUAUUAAUUCAUGCAUGGCAUUUCAACUCACAUUUCUAUAUACUUUUCAUAUCAAUUCUAUGCAUGGUAUUUCACUUCCCGUUUUUCCACAUAACUCAUAUGCAUUUCAUUUUAAACAUAUUUUCAUGCAUUUUCAAUUUCUGGGAAAACGUUAAGUAUAUAUAUAUAUAUACGGAAAACAAAACUGCCCACUCACCUGGAGUUCAUCCAACAACUCCCUAGCACCACACAUCAAGGCGUCACGACGAUCGCCGCCUAGAAUAGUAAUCAAAUCCAACCUCAGAAUUCAUAUCGAUAGAAUAUUUAACUUAUAUAAAAUACGUCACUACGUAGUUCGAUCCGGAAGAUCUGCCACUCAGAUUUUAAAUCCAUAACUUCCAGAGGUCCACAAUAUAUCUCUAGGACAACAUCCUAAAAUUUCAUUACCAUCCAACGGUCGGAUCUCCGUCAAUUUCCAAAACUAAGUGACGGUUAACAUUUUAUAUUAUGGACUUACAAUUCCAAUUCCGGAAGAUCCGUAACUCGGAUUCCCAAUCCAUAAGUUCCAAUAAUCCUCAAAUAUUACGUACUAUAACGUAUCAAAGUUUGGUGAUGAUCCAACGGUCGGAUCAUCAAUUCACAUUUUCACCUAAAUGUGAAAACUAUAAAACGUUAUUUGAACACCUAACCAACAAUCUUCAAUAACUUUCUCAUACGGUGUUCAAUUUAGGUAUAUGAAUAUACCACAGUGAUCUACUCGACGUCACGGACGUCGACAUAUUUUUAAAAUAAUUUUAUUUUUAUUUUUUAUUUUUACUGUAGCACCUUCUUCUUCCUUGGGUCGCCGGACUGGUUUUUCCGGCGGCCGUUUUCUGAACAGUUUUUCAAAUUGCCAUAACUUUGUCAUUUCUCAACGAAAUCAAGUGAUUCAAAAACGAAAGUUGUAGCCCUUGAAGAGACAAAGAGAAUGGUACCUUGCACAACACCUAGUUCGCCGUGGUUUGGCCGGAAACUGCCUCGAAAGCCUCGGAGGUCGCCGGAAACUGGGUAUUUUUCAAAUGAGUAUAACUUCUUCAAUACUCAACGAAAUUGAGUGAAACAAAAAGGAAAGUUGUAGUACUUGACGAGACGAAGAGAUUGAUACCUACCUCGACUCCUAACUCGCCGGGGAUUCGCCGGAAAAAGCCUCGAAAGCUCCGGCCAAAUUUUGAACUUGUCGAUCUCCGUGUUCUUACGUCCAAAAACUUCCAACGAAGCACUCCGAGCUUCCUUGGGACCUCACUAAGCUCACUAUGAGCUUGGAUUGUCCUAAAAAUCAACCAAUUCAAAGCUCAUGAACAGUACACUUUCAUGGGGAGUUUAGAAUCUAGGUUUUCCGAAGUAAAACUUACCUGAAAUGGAUACCAACGUGAUCGUGAAGUCCUCAGGAUUCCAAUGGUGGUCUCAAACUUGACGUUGGUAUAGAUUUAGGGUGGUUUUGGUGGUGGUCCGUGUGAGUUCGAAGGAGAGAGAGACAGAGAGAGUGAGAAAUCGUGAAGGAGGAGAGAGAAAGACAGUGAACGGGAAAUGAGGAGGGUUUUGAGGGAUGUGGGGAUCCCACGUGGUCCUUAUUCCAAUCUCCAAACACCAAACUUUAACAUUUUAACCUAAAAAUCUAAGUUCCAUCCUUAUUAAAUUCCAUUUUAUUUUUCAAACUUAGGAACCUAGAUAAUUAGCAACCUGAGCUUCACAAAUUUAGUAUUUCUUAAGGGCAAUUUCGUCCAUUCACAGCCACGAAUAUAAUAAUUUGGAACGGGCUGUGACAAUCUUCCCUCCUUAUAGAAUUUCGUCCCCGAAAUUCCAGCAACCAACCAAUUCAUCAACACUUAUACCAACCUCGGUAAGUUUCUUUCAUCCGAUUCUUUUUCUCCCACGUAAUUUUCUUCCACUGAAUGAUUCCUUCACAAAACUUUUACCAUUUACUCUAUCUUAACUCUCAGGACCUUCUUUUUCCAAUCCAAAUUCUACUUUUCUAAGGUGAACACUUCUAAAAUAUAAAACCAUCUUAUGAUCAACGUCACUUAUAAUAUUCAAUUGGUAGUAACCAGAUCUCAAUUCAAUCUUUGAAUCUUCGCAAUUACUUUUGAGUUGGUUAAAUAAACAUCAGUACAUCACCAUGGAUAACGGUUCUCAAUCGUUACCCGACUCCAUUAUCUAUAAUCAAGGAAUAGUCUUUAAAGUCCAUUUUCUUUCUCACCCACAAACUGGUGCUCCUCAACAGUGUUGUACUAGGUUGAAUAAAACUUUUAUCAACCAAUUCUCUCAACUGAAUUUCCAAUUCCCUUAACUCAUCAUGAACCAAUCUUUAACAUAAAUUUAUACCUGGCAACAAAUCAAUAAUGAACCUCAUAUCUCUGCCUGAAGACAAUCCAGGUAUACUUUCAGAGAAGACAUCAAGAAAAGUCUAACUCUUUCGACAUUAUUCACACUACUCCAAACAACAUCAUUUAGCACCACAUGAGCUAAGUAUUUUUGACAGCCUUUCGAAAACAAUCUCUUUGCUCUCACAGCAUAAAUAAUGGCUGAACUCAAUCCACUUUGCAUACUUACAAAAGUAAUCUCUGUUCAUCCAGAUCGAUGGAAAGUGACUGGUUUCCCGUAACAAUCCAUUUAGUCACAAUUAUAACCAACCACUCUAAUGGAAAUAAUUUAACCGACACAAUACAUACUUUAUUAAUACUGAACAUUCUAAAUAAGUACAACACUAACAUAAAAUAACCUACCGGGUUGCUUGCUUAACGAAUCCACGAAUGAGUUAUUAAUAUUACGGUCUGCAGCCCGCAAUACUGAUAAAUCAUCGUUGUCUCGAUAAGUAGGCAACCACUCACAAAGAUAUAACAUUACUAUUUUGUCACUCAAUGCAAAAUACAUACACUCGUCUCAACUACAUUUAUUUACCACUCUCUAGGUAAUAUCAUACAUAAUAAGAAAUAUAUCAGCCGAAGUCAACUAGAAUGACCAAUACGGUUGAUUCAACUCUUAUCUCAAUAAUACGUCGGCCGGAUCCACUCCGCGUGGUCGGCACGGCCGAGCCUAUAACUCACCAAUUUCUCAUAUGUCAGUCAAAUCCAUUUCUCAUGGUCCGUACGGCUGAACAUAUAACUCAUCAAAUAUCUCUGUACUCACGGUCAAUCCGACCAAACUACUAAAUCCAUAACUCUGCUGAAUCGACACUAUGAUUUCAUGGAAAAUUGUUGAGUACAACUGAUUCUAGGGACGAUUCACAACUCUGUGUCCCUUCUGUUCACAUAAACACAUUCAUUAAUUUCACAUUUCCCAAAGUGUUAAUUUUGUACAUGCUGCACAAAGUACAUUUCCUUUACUCGAGACACCUUGUCUCAAAUAUCGGGGAUUACCAGUAUAUCCAUCACUUUUAUUCUGACCAGCGACAUUAAAACCUCAGCUGGAAAAAUUAACUCUAGCUUCACUUCUUUCGAAGCUCUGAAUCUUUCUAUAUCCUUGAUAUGACGAAUCAUUAACUUUAUCGUCUUCUUUUAAUUCCCAUUCUUUUCUUAUUCUUCUUUAUUCUCGUUGCUCAUGUUCUCAGAGUCCUCAAGGCUCAACAACAUCUAGCAUACUCCUGAUAAGAACUACAAUGGAUAGUGGUCACCCAAAAUACCACUUCCCUUUUUGCCACCCAGCUUAAAACAACAUAACACCUCCACCAAAUUAACAACAAUAUCUGGAUGGAACGAGGCAAGUCUGAAAACUUUCUAUAAUAUCCCUCGAUCAUCACCUUCCUUGUCUCAUAUUUGUAAACUCUUGUUUACUACCAUCAAUAAAUGCCGGAGGGAUAAACUUUUCCUUAAAAAAUUUUUAAAUCGGCUGAUUCCUCUGGUGACAACAAUUAACAUUCCUGUUUCCACCAGGAUGCAAAUUCAUACCCAAAACCAGGUAGUCGUCUCGACCCACCUGUCAGAAGGAAAUUUCCUUUGACUUGCAUAAUCUGAAACAUCUUUUCCAAUUGGUUAAACCGUCACUCCGCUCCCUCAGGUUCAUCAUUUCAUAAGGUGAUUCAAAUUCAACUCAUAACCCGUCUUAAAAUGUCCAUUUUGAUAAUAUACUGAAUCACCAUAAUCAUAGUUUCCCCCAAACCGCUAAAUCAGGGAGACUAAAUUCCUCUAACUACGUGGUUUGCUACGAGGCGGUGUAGUUCUGACAGAAUUCACUAUAAACUUCUCAAGAUGUCCAAGAUUGCAACCAUGCUCUGAUACCAACUGACACACCCCGUCCCGAAGGAGGGCAUGCUGGCCGUCACGUGAGAGUGACGUAACCAUUUGCACAGUACGGAAGCUUUAAGAUACAAUUUAAAUUGAUACACCCGAAGGUGAGUCCUAAUUUUGUCCAAUCUGUCAGAACACCGUCGAAUUCCUCGUAGUCACCACACCUUUGUGAUUCCUGAACCUGGAGGGGCGCAAAACCAAAAUUGAGUGGGUCAGUAAAACAAUUCUUUUCCAAAUCCAAACAUUUCUCAAAACGUUGUAACCCCUCUCCGUAAAACCUGUAUACUUUCCCAGAAAUGUAAAAUAUAAAUAUACAUAUAUAUUCUCAAAACUUCAUUUUUACUAUCUCAACAUUAUCUCUUUAUCAAUCAUGCCAUGCCAUGUCAUCUCAACAUUUCUCAUAUUAAUUAUGCCAUGCCACAUCAUCUCAACAGUAAUAAGGUAUGAAUGCAUCAACAUAAUCAUAUCAGGUGCAAGAAAGUAAUCAACCGUAGGCCCUCUAAUAGCCCUAUACGGUUGAACCUAGAGCUCAAAAUCUAUCAUUAUCACUCUACCGGAGUCACCUCUGUGACCCGUCCGGCCUUCUGCACACAAGUUACGCUCUAGUGCUUCUCAUAAAUCAUCUGUGCACAUAAUCUAAGGUCACCCACCAGUCGGAAUCUCACUAACACUCUCGCGACUGGUCUGUCGUACCCACUCCGCGUGGACUGUACGACUAGCAUCUACUUGGAUCCAAGGCGAGCGUGCGAUGCGGUGAAUACUAUAAGCACUAAACCAUGGUGCAGGAUUUGAGCUCAAUAUAUAUCAUCAUCAUCAUAACAGUAAUUAAAUACUCAUCUGUGCGUCCACCGCACCAUUUCAUACAUAUGCAUCAUAAAUCAAUUCUUACCUGUGCGUCCACCGCACCAAUUCAUACAUAUGCAUCAUAAAUCAAUUCUUACCUGUGCGUCCACCGCACCAAUUCAUACAUAUGCAUCAUAUAUUAAUUCAUGCAUGGCAUUUCAACUCACAUUUCUAUAUACUUUUCAUAUCAAUUCUAUGCAUGGUAUUUCACUUCCCGUUUUUCCACAUAACUCAUAUGCAUUUCAUUUUAAACAUAUUUUCAUGCAUUUUCAAUUUCUGGGGAAAACGUUAAGUAUAUAUAUAUAUACGGAAAACAAAACUGCCCACUCACCUGGAGUUCAUCCAACAACUCCCUAGCACCACACAUCAAGGCGUCACGACGAUCGCCGCCUAGAAUAGUAAUCAAAUCCAACCUCAGAAUUCAUAUCGAUAGAAUAUUUAACUUAUAUAAAAUACGUCACUACGUAGUUCGAUCCGGAAGAUCUGCCACUCAGAUUUUAAAAUCCAUAACUUCCAGAGGUCCACAAUAUAUCUCUAGGACAACAUCCUAAAAUUUCAUUACCAUCCAACGGUCGGAUCUCCGUCAAUUUCCAAAACUAAGUGACGGUUAACAUUUUAUAUUAUGGACUUACAAUUCCAAUUCCGGAAGAUCCGUAACUCGGAUUCCCAAUCCAUAAGUUCCAAUAAUCCUCAAAUAUUACGUACUAUAACGUAUCAAAGUUUGGUGAUGAUCCAACGGUCGGAUCAUCAAUUUCACAUUUUCACCUAAAUGUGAAAACUAUAAAACGUUAUUUGAACACCUAACCAACAAUCUUCAAUAACUUUCUCAUACGGUGUUCAAUUUAGGUAUAUGAAUAUACCACAGUGAUCUACUCGACGUCACGGACGUCGACAUAUUUUUUAAAAUAAUUUUAUUUUUAUUUUUUUUUUUACUGUAGCACCUUCUUCUUCCUUGGGUCGCCGGACUGGUUUUUUCCGGCGGCCGUUUUCUGAACAGUUUUUCAAAUUGCCAUAACUUUGUCAUUUCUCAACGAAAUCAAGUGAUUCAAAAACGAAAGUUGUAGCCCUUGAAGAGACAAAGAGAAUGGUACCUUGCACAACACCUAGUUCGCCGUGGUUUGGCCGGAAACUGCCUCGAAAGCCUCGGAGGUCGCCGGAAACUGGGUAUUUUUCAAAUGAGUAUAACUUCUUCAAUACUCAACGAAAUUGAGUGAAACAAAAAGGAAAGUUGUAGUACUUGACGAGACGAAGAGAUUGAUACCUACCUCGACUCCUAACUCGCCGGGGAUUCGCCGGAAAACGCCUCGAAAGCUCCGGCCAAAUUUUGAACUUGUCGAUCUCCGUGUUCUUACGUCCAAAAACUUCCAACGAAGCACUCCGAGCUUCCUUGGGACCUCACUAAGCUCACUAUGAGCUUGGAUUGUCCU
rnacentral:lncRNA from 1 species